AAAACAUUUACUAAUUAGCAAAAAAAUCUCCAUUAGAUUGUCCUUUAUAUUAAAAUAACCUAUGCACACUAAACUGAUAAGACUCGAGCGUUUGGUACUUUCAUAUCCGUCUUGUGUAAUAGCAUCCUUUCAAAUCAGACCAUCAAGAAAGGGGAGAAUUAUAGUGUUCUCCCAUUGUGGCACUUGAUACUCACCAUGUGAUCAUUAAAAGAACUUGUUUUCCAUAUGAUAGAAGUGAAUUGCAUCAAAUUAUUUGACGGUAGAUUCAAUAUUGAUUCUACGAUCAUAUACUGAG
rnacentral:lncRNA from 1 species